AUUGAACGCUGGCGGCAGGCCUAACACAUGCAAGUCGAACGAGUGGCGGACGGGUGAGUAAUGUCUGGGAAACUGCCUGAUGGAGGGGGAUAACUACUGGAAACGGUAGCUAAUACCGCAUACCAUCGGAUGUGCCCAGCUGGGAUUAGCUAGUAGGUGGGGUAACGGCUCACCUAGGCGACGAUGCCUAGCUGGUCUGAGAGGAUGACCAGCCGCACUGGAACUGAGGCACGGUCCGGACUCCUACGGGAGGCAGCAGUGGGGAAUGUUGCACCAUGGCAGCAAGCCUGAUGCAACCAUGCCGCGUAUGUGAAGAAUGCCUUCGGGUUGUACAGCACUUUCAGCGAGGAGUCGUUACCCGCAGAAGAAGCACCGGCGAACUCCGUGCCAGCGACCGCGGUAAUUC
rnacentral:rRNA from 1 species